rnacentral:rRNA from 1 species
UAAGAGGCGAUGAAGGACGUGUUACACUGCGAUAAGCUUCGGGAAGUUGUGAAAAAACGCUGAUCCGAAGAUUUCCGAAUGGGGCAACCCACCUCUUGAGUUCAGAAUACAGUUUUUAGGACCAUGCUGGUCUGGGUGAAAAUUCGAUGAACCCAGGCGCGCUACUCCUGUGUCUACGGACAGCAUCCAUUGCGGGAAAUACCGAACUGGAUGUCGCUACAAGUGUGACUUAGGUGAAGAAAUUCAUCCACAGGCACUUGGGCAACGGGCGAGGUGUGCCUGAAGUGAUGAAUAUUCAUCCUUCCAGCGCGGUUCUUGAAGACUGAUUUAUGAACUCAGUAGAGAGGUAUAGUAACCUGAAUACAUAGGGUUAUUAAGCAAACGCGGUGAAUUGAAAUAUCUCAGUAGCCGCAGGAAAGGACAUCAAUUGAGACUCCGCUAGUAGUGACGAGCGAACGCGGACCAGGCCAGUGUUGUCUGUGAUAUAAUCGGAACCAUCUGGAAAGUUGGGCCAUAGCGGGUGAUAGCCCCGUACGAGUAAAACAGCAGACUUCCUUGAGUAAGGCGGGACACGUGAAAUCCUGUCUGAACAUGGGUCGACCACGAUCCAAGCCUAAGUACUCCUUACCGACCGAUAGUGAACCAGUACAGUGAUGGAAAGGUGAAAAGCACCCCGACGAGGGGAGUGAAAUAGUACCUGAAACCGGAUGCUUACAAGCAGUUGAAGGGGAUUUAGUCCCUGACAGCGUACCUCUUGUAUAAUGGGUCAGCGACUUAGUGUGUGCAGCAAGCUUAAGCCGAUAGGUGUAGGCGUAGCGAAAGCGAGUCUGAAUAGGGCGACAAGUUGCACGUAUUAGACCCGAAACGAGGUGAUCUAGCCAUGGCCAGGUUGAAGGUUGGGUAACACCAGCUGGAGGACCGAACACACUCCCGUUGAAAAGGUAGGUGAUGAGCUGUGGUUAGGGGUGAAAGGCCAAUCAAACUUCGUAAUAGCUGGUUCUCCGCGAAAACUAUUUAGGUAGUGCCUCGAGCGAAUACCUUGGGGGGUAGAGCACUGGAUGGGCUAGGGGGUCCCAAAGACUUACCAAACCUAACCAAACUCCGAAUACCCAAGAGUACUACUCGGGAGACAGACUGCGACAGCUAACUGCCGUAGUCGAGAGGGAAACAACCCAGAUCUACAGCUAAGGCCCCCAAAUCAUAGUUAAGUUGGGAAGCAUGUGGGAUGACCAUAACAACCAGGAGGUUGGCUUAGAAGCAGCCAUCCUUUAAAGAAAGCGUAAUAGCUCACUGGUCUAAAUAAGUCGUCCUGCGGCGAAAAUGUACCGGGGAUUAAACUAUGUGCCGAAGCUUAGGGCUUGACGUAAGUCAAGCGGUAGCGGAGCGUUCCGUAAGCCUGCGAAGCCAUUCUGUCAGGAGUGGUGGAGGUAUCGGAAGUGCGAAUGCUGACAUGAGUAGCGACAAACAGAGUGAGAAACUCUGUCGCCGAAAUCCCAAGGGUUCCUGCGUUAUGUUAAUCAGAGCAGGGUUAGCCGGCACCUAAGGCGAGGCCGAAAGGCGUAGUCGAUGGAAAACAGGUAAAUAUUCCUGUGCCAGUGGAAUGUGACGCAUUGCGUAAAUUGUUCUUCCUUAUUGGAUUGGAAGGGCCGUGAAGCAGUGCCAGGAAAUAGCACCACAUCAGACCGUACCCUAAACCGACACAGGUGGGAAGGUAGAGUAUACCAAGGCGCUUGAGAGAACGAUGUUGAAGGAACUAGGCAAAUUGCACGCGUAACUUCGGGAUAAGCGUGGCCCAUUGAUAGGCAACUAUUGGUGGGCGUCACAAGCCAGGGGGUAGCGACUGUUUAUUUAAAACACAGGGCUCUGCGAAGGCUCCUAAGCCGACGUAUAGGGUCUGACGCCUGCCCGGUGCUGGAAGGUUAAGAUGAGAGGUGAGAGCUUUGAAUCGAAGCCCCAGUAAACGGCGGCCGUAACUAUAACGGUCCUAAGGUAGCGAAAUUCCUUGUCGGGUAAGUUCCGACCCGCAUGAAUGGCGUAACGACUUCCCCACUGUCUCCAGCA